UACGUAGGGUGCAAGCGUUGUCCGGAAUUCUUUGGCGUAAAGAGCUCGUAGGCGGUUUGUCGCGUCUGCUGUGAAAUCCCAGGGCUUAACCCUGGGCCUGCAGUGGGUACGGGCAAACUAGAGUGCGGUAGGGGAGAUCGGAAUUCCUGGUGUAGCGGUGAAAUGCGCAGAUAUCAGGAGGAACACCGGUGGCGAAGGCGGAUCUCUGGGCCGUAACUGACGCUGAGGAGCGAAAGCAUGGGUAGCGAACAGG
rnacentral:rRNA from 1 species